GUUUAUAUGGUGUAUGUUAGCACGUCAGGUUUUCAUCUUGAAGGGGUGAUGUUUGUCACUGUAAACU
rnacentral:tRNA from 1 species